GCCGCGUGUAGUGUGAAGGCCUUCNGGUUGUAAAGCUCUUUUGUUCGGGAAGAAAUCCUUCUGGCUAAUAUCCNGAAGGGAUGACNGUACCGGAAGAAUAAGCCCCGGCUAACUACGUGCCAGCCGCCGCGGUAAUA
rnacentral:rRNA from 1 species